rnacentral:rRNA from 1 species
UCCUAGUAGCGGCGAGCGAAGCGGGAAAAGCUCAAAUUUGUAAUCUGGCGUCUACGACGUCCGAGUUGUAAUCUCGAGAAGUGUUUUCCGUGAUAGACCGCAUACAAGUCUCUUGGAACAGAGCGUCAUAGUGGUGAGAACCCAGUACACGAUGCGGAUGCCUAUUACUUUGUGAUACACUUUCGAAGAGUCGAGUUGUUUGGGAAUGCAGCUCAAAUUGGGUGGUAAAUUCCAUCUAAAGCUAAAUAUUGGCGAGAGACCGAUAGCGAACAAGUACCGUGAGGGAAAGAUGAAAAGCACUUUGGAAAGAGAGUUAACAGUACGUGAAAUUGUUGGAAGGGAAACACAUGCAGCCAGACUUGCUAUUCGGGGCAACUCGAUUGGCAGGCCCGCAUCAGUUUUUCGGGGCGGAAAAUCAUAGAGAGAAGGUAGCAAUUUCGGUUGUGUUAUAGCUCUUUAUUGGAUUCGCCCUGGGGGACUGAGGAACGCAGCGUGCUUUUAGCAUAAGCUUCGGCUUAUCCACGCUUAGGAUGCGGGUGUAAUGGCUGUAUAUGACCCGUCUUGA